rnacentral:tRNA from 1 species
GGGGAUAUAGCUCAGUGGUGGAGGGCUUGUCUAGUAUGCACAGAGGCUUGGGUUCUGACCCCAGUGCCCCCA